rnacentral:lncRNA from 1 species
UAGUGCCCCUUCCUAUAACCCCUUCCUUCUGCAGGGCACUAAACAACAAAUUUCCCUCUUCUCGGAUGUCACUGUUGACCUGUCAUCAAAGCAAAUGACCUCUCCAAUUAGUCUGCACUUGAAGCCCUAAGGAAGACUGUAAGAGGAGCUCCUCCCAGUGCUACCAGUGCCUCUGCUACCUGGGAGUUCUCAGAUUGCCAAAUGUGGGGAGAGAAUGGAGACCCAAUCUUUCUGAAAGCUCUUCUUACAACCACAGGCAUCAUCUCUGUCUGGUGGAGAUACGUUAGAAGACAAGCCAAGAUGCAGCGAUUCAUAGCUGGCUCUGCUAGAUGAGAACAGAAGACAAGAGGGAGUGGAAGAGGGGUCUAUGGAUUUUUGAAAAGCUGGGUGUUAAGGGGAGCAUGAGACUUUACAUCAAAACAAGAGACAGAAUAAUGGAAGGCCUCACAUCUGGCUUCCUAACUCAGCAACAAAAUCUCUUAUAAGACCUUAGAAAAGAAGCCAUCAAAGAGGCAUAAAGUAAACAAUAAAUGUGGAAAAAAAACAACA